UAUUUUAGAGGAAGGAGAAGUCGUAACAAGGUUUCUGUAGGUGAACCUGCAGAAGGAUCAUUUGCACAUGUGUAGCCAACUGCAUGCUAAUGAUAUUGUGGGCAACUGUAAGCAUGUAUUGCAAUGGACUUGCACUUGCCCUGGGCAGCAUGAUUUGUUUUUCAAGCAUGUGUGCUGUAGUGUGUGAUGUGUUUUGUAAACUGUUUGCAUUUCUCUAGUUGCUGCAACAAUUAUGUUUUGCAAGGAAUGUCUUAGCUCAAUAAAUGAUGAAGAAUGCAGCAAAAUGCAAUAUGCAUUGCGAAUUGCAGAAUUCCGUGAGCUAACAGAUGUUUGAAUGUUACUUGUACCUUUGGGAUAUUCUUGAAGGUUUGCUUGGUUUAAUGCAAAGUAGCUUUCAUAUACAUUUAAUGCUGAUUAGCAUUGUUGUGAACAAUAAAGGUCAAUGUUUUGCAUUGAACCUGGAUGUCAUACAGUUGUUUACAACCUAAACAUGGUUUCGUGGGGCAGACCUGUUUCGUCAUUUGAUGGUUGAUAUUGUAAAUGUGCACAACUGGGACAAGCUGAAGACUUGCAUAUGCUAAGCGUGAAGUGAAGCACAUAAACCUGCUGAAUUUAAGCAUAUAAGUAAGUGGUGGAAAUUAAACCAAUC
rnacentral:rRNA from 1 species